rnacentral:rRNA from 1 species
CCCACNCCGUAANCGAUGGAUACUAGGUGUAGGGGGUAUCCAACUNCCCCUUGUGCCCCAGUUAACACAAUAAGUAUNCCCGCUGGGAAGUACGGUCGCAAGAUUAAAACUCCAAAGGAAUUGACGGGGGNCCGCACAAGCAGCGGAGCAUGUGGUUUAAUUCGAAGCAACGCGAAGAACCUUACCUGGACUUGACAUCCCCUUGCAUAGCCUAGAGAUAGGUGAAGCCCUUACGGGGCAAGGAGACAGGUGGUGCAUGGUUGUCGUACGCUCGUGUACGUGAGAUGUUAGGUUAAGUACCUGCAACGAGCGCAACCCUUGUUAUUAGUUGCUACCAUUAAGUUGAGCACUCUAAUGAGACUGCCUGGGUAACCAGGAGGAAGGUGGGGAUGACGUCAAAUCAUCAUGCCCCUUAUGUCCAGGGCUACACACGUGACUACAAUGGUAGGUAACAAUAAGACGCAAGACCGUGAGGUGGAGCAAAACUUAUAAAACCUAUCUCAGUUCGGAUUGUAGGCUGCAACUCGCCUACAUGAAGCUGGAGUUGCUAGUAAUCGCGAAUCAGAAUGUCGCGGUGAAUACGUUCCCGGGCCUUGUACACACCGCCCGNCCCCCCCCAUGAGAGCUGGUAACACCCGAAGUCCGUGAGGUAAACCGUAAGGAGCCAGCGGCCGAAGGUGGGAUUAGUGANNNAAAUGCAUGAUUCA